UGGGGAAUCAUGGUCAAUGGGCGAAAGCCUGAACCUGCGACGCCGCGUGAGUGAUGAAGGUCGUAAGAUCGUAAAACUCUUUUCAGGGAUCUUAAAGCACAACCGUCAACAACGGCUGUGUGUGACUCUCCCUGGAAGAAGCCCCAGCCAACUACGUGCCAGCAGCUGCGGUAAUACGUAGGGGGCGAGCGUUAUUCGGAAUUACUGGGUGUAAAGGGUAGGUAGGCGGCCCUUCAAGUCGCGUGUCAAAGUCCAGUGCUCAACGCGGGGUGUGC
rnacentral:rRNA from 1 species